GGGCCCAGGCUGUACAGCUGGCAGUGCCUGACAGCCUACCUGACGCUGAAUUGGAUGGGAUACAGCAUAGGGAGCAGUAGCUGGGUGAGGUAGGAGAAGGGAGUCGGGGUUAUCACUUACAAAUGGUACUGAAGCCUAAACUCUGAAGUGAGUAGGUGCUGUGCUUUUAUGGGCCUCUUUAUGAAGCAAAUUAUGUAAAAGUUGCCAUCGAGGACAAACAAGUGAAAUACUUUACACAUUACGGUGGAUUGGAUGAAAAUUGGAAUGAAUGGGCUCCAAAAAGUAGAGUACUCAGGUACAUGAACACCAAUCUGUAGAAACCGGGAGAACUUCGAGAAGCAAAUCAGGAACAAAAUUCAUGGGGGAAGAGGAGAGAGGCUGCCCCAGCAAAGAAGACAUCUGGUCUGCAAGGGAAAAAUGUUGAAAUCAUGUGGAAAUGGAAAUGGAGCAGUACCAAUGAGAUACCUCAGCCUCCUCAGAAGAGCCCCAGUAGAUGCCGCUGUUGAAAACAUUCAUGAAGAGAGUUGAAGUUAAAGAUUUCUGAAGAAUUAAAACCAUGUUUUGUUGAUGAGUGAGACAUAAUGACCAAACAAAAACAGCUUUAUCUUCGUGCCAGGAAAAAUGUGGAUUCUAUUGUAGAGAAUUAUGUAAAUUACAAGAAAACUUGAGGGACCACAGAUAAUAAGGAGUAUGUUUUUAAUAUGGUUGUGGCAAAAAUGGAAAAUAUUUGAAUAUAAUGUUAGGCACUCAGAUACUUUACAAAUCUGAAAGACUCCAGCAUGCUGAAAUCCUUGAAGAUUACCCAGAGGCACUCAAGUUCCAGGGGUAUGGAAGACCACAUCUGUUGAUAUAAUUUGUAUGAAUUGGACCAAUGUUGACCCAAACACCUCUAGAGGAGAAGAACCUUGCUUUAUGACUGAACUAUCUUCAUAAUGACUUCCUGGUAAAGAAUUCUGCAAUUUUAUUUAAAGCCAAC
rnacentral:lncRNA from 1 species